rnacentral:snoRNA from 1 species
GAUGAGGGCAGGCUGUGAUGUAAUUCUGAAGUCAUUCCCAGGCUUCUAAAACGGAUUCGUCAUAAUUCUGCUGGAAAGUUGAGAUAUGAUUUC